GGGAGCAGUUGCUGCCCAGGGUGGCAGAUUGGGGGUGGUUUGGGUGCCAGGGGGUAUUUUUGGCCUUAUUUUGUUGCUGCCCAAGCACCUGGGUCGUGCCGAUUGUAAAAGGGAGUCACGGCGGGUUGGGAAAGGGAGUGGAGGGGGGGCAGCUGGGGUUGGUAGCGCUGCUGGGGAGAUGCCAAAAAACCAAAACAAAACACGUUUUCAUUUUGUCUGCACCAGCCUGGGCGCAGGCGAGCGCGGGAGAGAGGGAGGGAGAGGGAGGCGCACGCCAACAGAAAGCCGCCGUGCUCAGACGCGGGCCUGNNNNNNNNNNNNNNNNNNNNGGCGAGCGAGCGGCGGAGGCCCCCCCGUGCCAUGCACACACACCCCCCCCGCCACCGAGCCACCCACCCCACCCUUGGCACCCGACAGCCCCGGUGGCCUCGUGCGGGGAUGGCGAGGCCCCCGCCGGCGGGAGCACCGAAGGCUCCUCGUCGGCGAGGCUUAAAUCGAGCCGAAGCCCCGCUCGGCGGGCAAACGAGGCCACUCGGCAUCUGCUGUACCUGUUCCCGCUGCCUUCAUCUCGCCUUGGAACCGUGACAAGAGCGCACUCGCCUCUGGUGGGCUCUCAAAGCCGCGGGUCUGUAACCCUUUGCAGGAAGUUGGCACCGAUCCCAGGAAUGAUUUGCCUACGUGGAGCUCAGCGCUGCGGGAGAACAGAGCAAACAGCCUUAUCGAGGGCAGCUGUGCCACAGGGCACUUCCUCAUGCGUGGCUGCAAGAUGGGGCCCUCCAUGGCUGCGGGGGAGGGCUGGCAGCCCUUGGCCUUCCCACUGACCAGACACCAGGAAGACACCAGGCACCAUCCAGGCAUCGGGAGGGCUCUCUGGGAUGUUCCCUCCCGGCUCCACAGCAGGAGAGUGGCAUGGACAGGAGGGGGUUUGGACUGAACUGAAGGGUCUUCAGCAGGACAGCUCUGCAGGGGAAAGGAGAGGAUGGAACAUUGGCUCUGAGCUCAGCUGCACUUCCCUUGACACAAAGGCUCAUCUUGCUGCUUUCCAGAUCCUGCCAGACUCGAGCAUCCAUGCCCAGCGGAGAGACAGACCAGCCUUGACCUGAGAUUCCCUCUCCUGGCUGCUGUCGCUGCCUCCCUUCUCCCCCGGGCAGCUGGGAGCAGAUGAGGCCAAAGUCCCAGCAAUCUCAGUUCUCCACUGGAGGCUGAUAAACGGUGUGGGCACAGAACAGCAGCAAUCCCCACCCAGGCUGGCUUUGUGCAGGAGAGUCAAUAUUUAAACCAGAGGUUGUUUCCUGGGCAGACAGGGGAGCCCCAGCGGGACAAACCCCCGGCUCCAUCCCGGGCACCAAACCUCCUCCUCCACCCCUUCAUUUGUUCUCCCAACCACAUGUUCCAUCCUGCAUCCCCCCAUUCCUGUGGGAUCCCCCCCUUCAGCUGGGACACCUGAGCACCAGCUGCAGGGCCAGGCACUGACUAAUGAGUAGCAAUUUAAGGGAGAGGGAUGCCCAGCCAGGGUUUGGGUUGUCUCCUUGCCUGCUCCUGGUGCAGACAUUUGUCCUUGUGGUGGGGCUCCUCAAAUGAAAUUUGUCCUGGGGCCCCUCAAAUGAAGCAUGGGACAAGAAGAAUCAGGGAUAGAAAGAGGAGGUGAGAAAAUAUUCAAUCAUCCUAAGAAUGGCAGCCCCUUGCUUCAAAGUAAGGCAGUGCAGUGAAAGCUUUGAAACCUGGUUUUCAUUUAAAUUGAGCAAAAACUACUGUCAACUAUUGGGUUUUCAGCCAAGUUUGUGGGCCCUGAUGAACUCGGCAGAAAUUACUGGCAGGAUG
ensembl:lncRNA